GAAAUGCGAUAAGUAAUGUGAAUUGCAGAAUUCAGUGAAUCAUCGAAUCUUUGAACGCACCUUGCGCUCCUUGGUAUUCCUUGGAGCAUGCCUGUUUGAGUAUCAUGAAAUCUUCAAAGUAAAUCUUUUGUUAACUCAAUUGGUUUCUACUUUGGUAUUGGAGGUCUUUGCAGCUUCACACCUGCUCCUCUUUGUUCAUUAGCUGGAUCUCAGUGUUAUGCUUGGUUCCACUCGGCGUGAUAAGUUAUCUAUCGCUGAGGACACUGUAAAAGGUGGCCAAGGUAAAUGCAGAUGAACCGCUUCUAAUAGUCCAUUGACUUGGACAAUACUUUUAUGAUCUGAUCUCACAUCAGGUAAGACUACCCGCUGAACUUAAGC
rnacentral:misc_RNA from 1 species